rnacentral:rRNA from 1 species
GACGAACGCUGGCGGCGUGCUUAACACAUGCAAGUCGAACGGAAAGGCCCUGCUUUUGUGGGGUUCUCGAGUGGCGAACGGGUGAGUAACACGUGAGUAACCUGCCCUUGACUUUGGGAUAACUUCAGGAAACUGGGGCUAAUACCGGAUAGGAGCUCCUGCUGCAUGGUGGGGGUUGGAAAGUUUCGGCGGUUGGGGAUGGACUCGCGGCUUAUCAGCUUGUUGGUGGGGUAGUGGCUUACCAAGGCUUUGACGGGUAGCCGGCCUGAGAGGGGGACCGGCCACAUUGGGACUGAGAUACGGCCCAGACUCCUACGGGAGGCAGAAGUGGGGAAUAUUGCACAAUGGGCGGAAGCCUGAUGCAGCAACGCCGCGUGCGGGAUGACGGCCUUCGGGUUGUAAACCGCUUUCGAAUGUGACGAAGCGUGAGUGACGGUAAUGGGUAAAGAAGCACCGGCUAACUACGUG